CGGGGGGUUAUCGGGGAUUACUGGGCGUAAGCGUGCGCAGGCGGCGCGUUAAGACAGGUGUGAAAGCCCCGAGCUUAACUUGGGAAUUGCGCUUGUGACUGGCGAGCUGGAGUGUGGCAGAGGGAGGUGGAAUUCCACGUGUAGCAGUGAAAUGCGUAGAGAUGUGGAGGAACACCGAUGGCGAAGGCAGCCUCCUGGGCCAGCACUGACGCUCAUGCACGAAAGCGUGGGGAGCAAACAGGAUUAGAUACCCUGGUGGUCCACGCCCUAAACGAUGUCAACUGGUUGUUGGUGGGGUUAAACCCAUUAGUAACGAAGCUAACGCGUGAAGUUGACCGCCUGGGGAGUACGGCCGCAAGGUUAAAACUCAAAGGAAUUGACGGGGACCCGCACAAGCGGUGGAUGAUGUGGAUUAAUUCGAUGCAACGCGAAGAACCUUACCUACCCUUGACAUGCCAGGGAGCCCGCUGAGAGGUGGGUGUGCCCGAAAGGGAGCCUGGACACAGGUGCUGCAUGGCUGUCGUCAGCUCGUGUCGUGAGAUGUUGGGUUAAGUCCCGCAACGAGCGCAACCCUUGUCACUAGUUGCUACGGUAACGGGCACUCUAGUGAGACUGCCGGUGACAAACCGGAGGAAGGUGGGGAUGACGUCAAGUCCUCAUGGCCCUUAUGGGUAGGGCUUCACACGUCAUACAAUGGCGCAUACAGAGGGCAGCCAACCCGCGAGGGGGAGCCAAUCCCAGAAAGUGCGUCGUAGUCCGGAUUGCAGUCUGCAACUCGACUGCAUGAAGUCGGAAUCGCUAGUAAUCGCGGAUCAGCAAUGUCGCGGUGAAUACGUUCCCGGGUCUUGUACACACCGCCCGUCACACCAUGGGAGUGGGUUUCACCAGAAGCCGGUUGCCUAACCUCGCAAGAGGGGGGCGCUGACCACGGUGAGAUUCAUGACUGGGGUGAAGUCGUAACAAGGUAACC
rnacentral:rRNA from 1 species